ensembl:lncRNA
AUAUUGAGCUGCCUUUCUCCUAUCUGAGGAGCAUAACCUGUUUGGAUCCAUGUUGAUAAUGCUUUUUAAAAAAACCCUGGUAAUCCUGCUGCCACCUCUCCAAUUCCAAGACCGAGGUGAUGUGAUCUGCCUACUGGCUUCACAUUCCCCAGCAAUGAAUACUGAGUGACUUUUCCAACUGUUGACCCAGGACAAUGUCAUUUUCCCAGAGAAGGGACUCACUGAUUCCAUUGGAAUACAGCUUCAUUGCCACAUGAAUCAGGAAAUUUGAAUGUAGCUCUGUGGUUCCCAGGUUUUGCUCUUGGCUCUUGCUGAGCAUUUGAUUCGCCAUCCUAUAUCACCAUAUGCCACUAGAUGUCACUGUUACUCGCGCCUUUGGGUGACAGAAACUGCGAGCACUCCUUCUGCCCUUUUGUGAAGGGGGAUAAAUCUUCAGAAGGGAGGAUAAUGCUGUCUACAUGGAUUUCAGCACAAAGACCUUUUCAGUAUUCUAUUGCAGAAAAUGGCAAGCCACCUAGCUUCAACUCUGCUUGUCCUUUAUUUGCUCUGGCUGACCACUGUGUUCUUCUUAUUCCUUUGAGAGGGAAACAUGCUGAGACAGAUAUUUUCCAGAAAACUUGCUCUGAGUUAAUGCCCAAGAAGAGAAGAAAUGAUUUGAACAGCUAAAUAUGUGAGACCUUGUGUCAGGCUUUUUCGAGUUGAUCUCUCAAUUUGACAAAAUGUACAUCUUUGUAGAACUAAAAAGUUCAAUAGCUGCUUUGGUGUGUGUUUAGUUUGAUUUAGUCCCAGUUUCUGCUUUUCUUUCUAGACUCUCUCU